GACGAACGCUGGCGGCGUGCUUAACACAUGCAAGUCGAGCGGAGCGGCGAACGGGUGAGUAACGCGGGAGUAACUGCCCCCCUCUCUGGGAUAACAGUUGGAAACGGCUGCUAAUACCGGAUAGUGGGGGAUGGCUCGCGUCCUAUCAGCUUGUUGGGGGGGUAGUGGCCUACCAAGGCGACGACGGGUAGCCGGCCUGGGAGGGCGACCGGCCACAUUGGGCUAAGAUACGGACCAAACGCGUACGGGAGGCAGCAGUGGGGAAUAUUGCACAGUGGGGGAAAGCGUGAUGCAGAAGCGCCGGGGGCGGGAAGACGGCCUUCGGGUUGUAAACCGCGUUCAGCCAUGACGCGGUAGUGGCAGAAGAAGCACCGGCUAACUACGUGCCAGCAGCCGCGGUAAUUC
rnacentral:rRNA from 1 species